CCUACGGGGGGCUGCAGUGGGGAAUAUUGGACAAUGGGCGAAAGCCUGAUCCAGCCAUGCCGCGUGUGUGAAGAAGGCCUUCGGGUUGUAAAGCACUUUCAGUGGGGAAGAAAGCCUUGGGGCUAAUACCCUCGAGGAAGGACAUCACCCACAGAAGAAGCACCGGCUAACUCCGUGUCAGCAGCCGCGGUAAUACGGAGGGUGCGAGCGUUAAUCGGAAUUACUGGGCGUAAAGCGCGCGUAGGCGGUCUGAUAAGCCGGUUGUGAAAGCCCCGGGCUCAACCUGGGAACGGCAUCCGGAACUGUCAGGCUAGAGUGCAGGAGAGGAAGGUAGAAUUCCCGGUGUAGCAGUGAAAUGCGUAGAGAUCGGGAGGAAUACCAGUGGCGAAGGCGGCCUUCUGGACUGACACUGACGCUGAGGUGCGAAAGCGUGGGUAGCGAACAGGAUUAGAUACCCCAGUAGUC
rnacentral:rRNA from 1 species